AAAAAGACACCAGCAGCGUGUCCAUCGAGCAAAUAUGCAAUAGAAGCAACGCGCAGCCGGCGCGAUAAACCCUCAGGUUCCUGGUUGAGAAAAGUCGGGACACAUGGAGAGAAUGCUUCGCAUAUCGAAGAAGGUCAAUGAGGAGCUUCUGGUGCCGAAAGCGAUCGAGGUGGUCGCGAGUUCCGAGGAAACGUCACUGAGAGCGCACAAGUCGAUCCCGAUCCUCAAAGCUCAUCGUAUUGCUGGCAGCCUGAUACCGACGGACAUCGUACCCACGGGUUGGUUGAAACGUGGUACGUGCCCUCCUCGCACCUUGUGCUACAGCCUCAGCAUGAACAGGUUCCGCGAGAGAAAAGCGCCCUUGCUCUCCGAAUGCGAGCGCCCCAGCCUCCUCUAGCGACCACCUGGGACAGCCACCAUAUGCGUCGCCGAGAGUUCCUCUGCGUCGCGGUCGACAAUCUUGCAGUGUACUGCAUAGUCUGCGCAGAGAGCGACCGCUGGUCUCUGUGGACAACGCUGCUAAGAGCACGAACGAAGCAUGUUCAGGGUUGCCUGCUCACAGUGAGGAAACGGAAAGCAGGUUCCUGGUACCAUGGAGACCGACGGAAUACCAGUCUACGUGCAUAUUGCCAGUCUGAGCCCUGAAUCGAGCAGCGAGACUCGCGGCGAAGCGUUCAUCGUGGUUGGAGAGAGAGCCUUUGGCAUGCGCAUGGGUCUCACACCGAAGGCACUCGUGGCCGUCGCGGUGCUUCCACAUCGACGGGACGUAUCCAAAGACCUGCACAGAACGCAUAUCAAGCUGCGCAGCGAUUCCAGUGCUCGGUGCUAUGUGCGGCUGGGCAAUACGUGUGCCAGAGGGCCUACGAGCCAGCGUCACGAAGGCGCCAGCGCGCGUCUCGAUGCGCCCCGCACCGUAUCAAGGCGGGGGUCACGCUUUGUAGGCUUCAUUCGGAGAGCCAGUGCAGGCCCGAGUCCCACAUGCGGGAGACCGGUGGCGGGCGUACCUGGGACCGCGCUCGCGUCGUCCACGACGCUUUUGUACGGCGGCACGCAGCGUGUAUUCAGCUGCUCGUGCAGUGCGCUCGAAAUGGAAGCGACCGAUCAUGCGCGUCACUUCGGUGCUUCCUAUAGCGCUGGAUGUGCUGUUGUGUGCAGAGGCCGCACUCGUGCCCUGUGGACGAGAGCGCAGUGUGAGUGCAUGUCUCGGUUCUGUGCGGUAUCCAUCGACGCGUUUAGGAUGACGCACGCGCACCACGAGCACUGGUGCACGCUGGAACAGGGAGUAAAGACGAGCAUAGAAGUGAGCUGGGUGCCCGAAACGGGGCAAGCCGAGUUUACCAGACUAUGGCAGACGCCGCAGUGCGAGGCGAUCGGACUGUGACGGAUUGAUUCUUCUGCCGGGAGCGAUGCGUGCGAUCCUUUUUUGCUGCUCUGAGACAUCAACGCCUUUAUCAGCAUCCGGAGAUGUGCCGAGCUGCCGAAGCGUCCAGCAGGCUUGGGUCGCGCGAAACUAUGUGAAAAUCGUUCAGCAUACCGUGUGAGCGUUGUCCCCGAGCGCUGGCGAAUCAGACUUGGGAAGAAUCGGCUGUCAUGCGUGGCGUGAUUGAAUGAUUCUCAUCCAGAGGCGGGACAGGCGUGGUGCUGUUCAGCACUCCCGGACGGUUGAUGCGCCAUAUCUGUAGAAAACGCGUAUGAUUUUGCUGAGCGAUUCAUGAGUGAUACUGGUGUCGAAAUAGUCAAUAUGAGUAUGAUCUCAAAACGAAAACGUUCGUCGACAAGGAAGGGUAAACAUUUA